rnacentral:rRNA from 1 species
ACGGAAGGCAGCAGUGGGGAAUAUUGCGCAAUGGGGGAAACCCUGAUGCAGCGACGCCGCGUGAGUGAAGAAGUUAUUCGUAAUGUAAAGCUCUAUCAGCAGGGAAGAAAAUGACGGUACCUGACUAAGAAGCCCCGGCUAACUACGUGCCAGCAGCCGCGGUAAUACGUAGGGGGCAAGCGUUAUCCGGAUUUACUGGGUGUAAAGGGAGCGUAGACGGUCUAGCAAGUCUGAUGUGAAAGGCAGGGGCUCAACUCCUGGACUGCAUUGGAAACUGUUAGUCUUGAGUGUCGGAGAGGUAAGCGGAAUUCCUAGUGUAGCGGUGAAAUGCGUAGAUAUUAGGAGGAACACCAGUGGCGAAGGCGGCUUACUGGACGAUAACUGACGUUGAGGCUCGAAAGCGUGGGGAGCAAACAGGAUUAGAUACCCUGGUA